UACGAAGGGGGCUAGCGUUGCUCGGAAUCACUGGGCGUAAAGCGCACGUAGGCGGACUCUUAAGUCGGUGGUGAAAUCCUGGAGCUCAACUCCAGAACUGCCUUCGAUACUGAGAGUCUCGAGUCCGAGAGAGGUGAGUGGAACUGCGAGUGUAGAGGUGAAAUACGUAGAGAUUGGGAAGAACACCAGUGGCGAAGGCGGCUAUCUGGACGGUUUCUGACGCUAAGACGCGAAAGCGUGGGGAGCAAACAGG
rnacentral:rRNA from 1 species